AGCUGCCCAGAGUCAUCCUUCUCCAUCCCACUGACCUUCCACCCGUGACCAAUCAGGAGAUGUUUCCAGUUUAUUGGUGAAUUUAUUAGGGCUCAGAGAGGAUGACCUAUCCAAGGUCACACUGCCAACUGAAUGUAGUACAAGUCUCUGAACCCAGUGUGUCCCUGCCAGAAAGUAGCAGGGAUCACAGAAGUCCAGCAGAGGUCUGCCGCCUUGGACCCCGCCUCUUACACAUUGAGUGUGGUUUCUGCAGUGAUGGGAAGUUCUGUCAACCCUGGCCUGCUUUGGGACACCCGUGGACCUCCCCAGAGCUGGUGGUGAAAAUUCCUGGAGGUAGACCCUCCGAAUGAGGAACAAUGUAUUCUUCUUUUCUCCUAAUUCUCCUAAAAAAUCCACUUGGGAGAUACCUGCUGCAAAACUUAAAGGCAACCAUAUUCUGUACUUAGAUGAAGUGUUUGUCAAGCUCCCUGGAAAAGAGAAUCAAAGGACCCUGACUUGUUUACUCUGCCUUCUGGAAGAAAAAAGUGAUGAGAGAGAGUGGCAAUCUCACACCAUGCUGAAAAACGCCCCCCAACUAACUCAGAUCCAUGCGUCCCUUUGGGCCCUGAGGAAUAAUACUGCUGGUUUAAUUCAAGACAUAAAACCAAUAAAAAUGGUUUACCUAA
rnacentral:lncRNA from 1 species